ensembl:lncRNA
CCCCAGCAUCACAAACCAUUCUCUACAAUGUUAUCGAAUGCAAAGGCACAGGCCCAUCCCUCCCCCCGUAUCAUCGAGGGCCAGCAAGCAUACACGGUGACACGCCUACUGAGGGUUCGACCACGGGGCAGGGGUUUCCAGUACCUGGUUGACUGGGAGGGUUAUGGCCCGGAGGAGAGGUGCUGGGUUCCCGCUAAAGACAUCUUGGACCCGGCCCUCAUCGCCGACUUUCACCGCUGCCAGCCCAGUCAACCAGGUAUCCUCCCAGGUGGAACGCAAGGUGGCGUCCCUAGAGGGGGGGUACUGUCACACCCUGAUGUUUCACCUGUCCUUGUGCUUGUCUCCACCCCCCUCCAGGUGUCGCCCAUCUUCCCCAUUAUCUCCUAUUUAUACCUGUGUUCUGUCUGUUUGUUGCCUGUUCGUCUUGUUCGUUCAAGCUUACCAGUGUUUUUCCUGUCCAGCUCCUUUCGUUUCCCAGCCUCUCUUUCCUCGUCCUCCUGGUUUUUGACCUUUUGCCUGUCCUGACCCUGUACCCGCCCGCCUGACCUCUCUGCCUGCCUGCCGUUCUGUACCUUUGCUCCACCUCUGGAUUACUGAACUCUGUCUGUCCCUGACCCUGAGUCCGCCUGCCGUUCUUUACCUUUGCUUACCCUGGAUUUUCAACCCCUGCCUGUCUUGACCUGUCUUUGCCUGCCCAUGUUGCUUCAAUAAAUAUUGUUACUUCAACAGUCUGCAUCUGGGUCUUACCUUGAUCCCUGAUAGAUGCAGAUAUCUAUCUUAAACUGACCGAUUUUUAUAGGGAUUUUUUAUUAUUAUGCUAAUUAGAUUUCCACAGGGGCGCAGACAUUGACCCAAGGGAGUUAAGAACGCUUUCAUGAACAAGUGACAUUUUAACCGGAUAUAAUCAGGGCCAACUGUGCAGGUAAGCACAGGGCUAAGUCUGCCAGGUUAUCUGAUGGGAACAGCUAACAUAUAGUGUUUGAUCACAUGCAACGUCGUCAACAAUUUUAAUAGUCUGAUGCGCAUUUUGAGACAGAGAUUUUUUUAAAACUUAAACUUGUUCUAAUGUUCGCAAGUAUGGUGCCUGUGGCUCCAGUCCAGACAACCAGUUGCCCACUUCUGAACCUGAUCUGACCAAUAGCUGCCUAACACCUGUGCUAAGGUCUCAACAACUCUGUUCUAGUCCAGUAGAUGGCAGCAGAAUAUCUGUUUUUGAACGUGAAAUAAUUCUACGUUGGGAAAGUCAUGGAUGUGACUGCAGAGUAACACCUAUGCAUACAAGCAUGUACACACACACACACAUGUUCCAUAGCCCUCUCACACAACCCCUGCAUGCAGUUCCUGGAACCUGUAUAAUGUUCCAUUGAAGUGGAGUGAUCUCACAAGUUUAACAAGUCAGGAUCUGGAAACCUAACAGUCCUGCAGAGCAACAAUAUGCUGUUGUAUAUUCUCCCUGGAAAUCUGUGGACCAGUUUGUCUUGAAAAGAGCCAUCAGUACAGCUUUGUCAAACCAAUGUGUGUGAGUGUGUGUUUCAGGAUUGCUGUAAGGAGAGGUAUAUAUUUCAUUUGAUUGAUUGGUGAGAUCACAGUCUGCAACCCUUCCCCCACCCAGUCAGCUGUCUUUGUAUUGUGCUGUACUCUGGAGUUUCAAUAAAACAAAAAAAGCCAUUAUA